rnacentral:rRNA from 1 species
UAACGGCGAGUGAAGCGGUAACAGCUCAAAUUUGAAAUCUGGCCUCACGGUCCGAGUUGUAAUUUGUAGAGGAUGCUUCGAGCAUGGUCUGGCCUAAGUUCCUUGGAACAGGACGUCAUAGAGGGUGAGAAUCCCGUAUGCGGCCAGGUGCCUACGCUCAUGUGAAGCUCCUUCGACGAGUCGAGUUGUUUGGGAAUGCAGCUCAAAAUGGGUGGUAAAUUUCAUCUAAAGCUAAAUAUUGGCCAGAGACCGAUAGCGCACAAGUAGAGUGAUCGAAAGAUGAAAAGCACUUUGGAAAGAGAGUUAAACAGUACGUGAAAUUGUUGAAAGGGAAGCGCUUGCAACCAGACUUGCGCGCGGCCGAUCAUCCGGUGUUCUCACCGGUGCACUCGGCCGUGCUCAGGCCAGCAUCGGUUUUGGCGGCUGGAUAAAGGCCCUAGGAAUGUGGCUCCUCUCGGGGAGUGUUAUAGCCUAGGGUGCAAUGCAGCCUGCUGGGACCGAGGACCGCGCUUCGGCUAGGAUGCUGGCGUAAUGGUUGUAAGCGGCCCGUCUUGAAACACGGACCAAGGAGUCUAACAUCUAUGCGAGUGUUUGGGUGUCAAACCCAUACGCGUAAUGAAAGUGAACGGAGGUGAGAACCCUUAAGGGUGCAUCAUCGACCGAUCCUGAUGUCUUCGGAAGGAUUUGAGUAAGAGCAUAGCUGUUGGGACCCGAAAGAUGGUGAACUAUGCCUGAAUAGGGUGAAGCCAGAGGAAACUCUGGUGGAGGCUCGCAGCGGUUCUGACGUGCAAAUCGAUCGUCAA